UGGGGAAUAUUGGACAAUGGGCGCAAGCCUGAUCCAGCCAUGCCGCGUGAGUGAUGAAGGCCUUAGGGUUGUAAAGCUCUUUUAUCCGGGACGAUAAUGACGGUACCGGAAGAAUAAGCCCCGGCUAACUUCGUGCCAGCAGCCGCGGUAAUACGAAGGGGGCUAGCGUUGCUCGGAAUUACUGGGCGUAAAGCGUGCGUAGGUGGUUCGUUAAGUCUGAUGUGAAAGCCCUGGGCUCAACCUGGGAAUGGCAUUGGAAACUGGCGGACUGGAGUGCGGUAGAGGGUAGCGGAAUUCCCGGUGUAGCAGUGAAAUGCGUAGAGAUCGGGAGGAACAUCCGUGGCGAAGGCGGCUACCUGGACCAGCACUGACACUGAGGCACGAAAGCGUGGGGAGCAAACA
rnacentral:rRNA from 1 species